rnacentral:rRNA from 1 species
GACGAACGCUGGCGGCGUGCCUAAUACAUGCAAGUUGAGCGCUGAAGGUUGGUACUUGUACCGACUGGAUGAGCAGCGAACGGGUGAGUAACGCGUGGGGAAUCUGCCUUUGAGCGGGGGACAACAUUUGGAAACGAAUGCUAAUACCGCAUAAAAACUUUAAACACAAGUUUUAAGUUUGAAAGAUGCAAUUGCAUCACUCAAAGAUGAUCCCGCGUUGUAUUAGCUAGUUGGUGAGGUAAAGGCUCACCAAGGCGAUGAUACAUAGCCGACCUGAGAGGGUGAUCGGCCACAUUGGGACUGAGACACGGCCCAAACUCCUACGGGAGGCAGCAGUAGGGAAUCUUCGGCAAUGGACGAAAGUCUGACCGAGCAACGCCGCGUGAGUGAUGAAGGUUUUCGGAUCGUAAAACUCUGUUGGUAGAGAAGAACGUUGGUGAGAGUGGAAAGCUCAUCAAGUGACGGUAACUACCCAGAAAGGGACGGCUAACUACGUG